rnacentral:rRNA from 1 species
GAUGAACGCUGGCGGCGUGCCUAAUACAUGCAAGUCGAGCGAACGGACGAGAAGCUUGCUUCUCUGAUGUUAGCGGCGGACGGGUGAGUAACACGUGGAUAACCUACCUAUAAGACUGGGAUAACUUCGGGAAACCGGAGCUAAUACCGGAUAAUAUUUUGAACCGCAUGGUUCAAAAGUGAAAGACGGUCUUGCUGUCACUUAUAGAUGGAUCCGCGCUGCAUUAGCUAGUUGGUAAGGUAACGGCUUACCAAGGCAACGAUGCAUAGCCGACGUGAGAGGGUGAUCGGCCACACUGGAACGGAGACACGGUCCAGGCUCCUACGGGAGGCAGCAGUAGGGAAUCUUCCGCAGUAGGCGGAAGCCUGACGGAGCAACGCCGCGUGAGUGAUGAAGGUCUUCGGAUCGUAAAACUCUGUUAUUAGGGAAGAACAUAUGUGUAAGUAACUGUGCACAUCUUGACGGUACCUAAUCAGAAAGCCACGGCUAACUACGUG